rnacentral:lncRNA from 1 species
AUACCCCAAACACACAGAGACAGGGAGAAAGAGAAAGAGAGAGAGACUUUGGUAAUCCACCUAGAGAGUUGCUGACAAAGCAGCUGAGCAUGGAUGCCCAGGAGGUGAUGUGAUUCUUGUGCCCUUCUGGACGCUCAGUUAUUCACCCACGUUAGGCCUUCACUAACUACAGGAAGGGAGAGAAGAGGGCAGCUUGGAACCCAUGUGAUCAGAAGCCCCUGACCUGUAUGCUGGGUGUGCUCCGUGUAGAAGAGACUCGAGUGCCUAUUUGCCCUAAUUGGGAAAUACCGAAUUAACAUGAGAUUGACUAUUUAACUCUGCUGGAUUUCAAAG